GUUAUUGUUUAAUUUUGCUUCGUAAACUUUUCAAUGUAGCGCUUUGAGUUGAUAUGAAAUUGAAAUGAAGCGAACACGACACUGGCAUCCUCCAGAUCAACUUCAUAUGGACUUAGGCGCUACAUGGCCUAACCAAAUGACACAUCGAAAAGUUUAUGAAGCGAAAUUAAACAACAA